rnacentral:rRNA from 1 species
CGGGGUGCAGCAGGCGCGAAACCUUAGCAAUGUGCGAAAGCACGACUGGGUCAGUCCGAGUGAUUCCUGAUAAAGGAGUCUUUUGCUUGUCCUAAAAGCACAGGUGAAUAAGGGGUGGGCAAGUCUGGUGUCAGCCGCCGCGGUAAUACCAGCACCUCGAGUGGUCAGGACGUUUAUUGGGCCUAAAGCAUCCGUAGCCGGCUCUGCAAGUCUUCGGUUAAAUCCACCUGCUCAACAGAUGGGCUGCUGGAGAUACUACAGAGCUAGGGAGUGGGAGAGGCAGACGGUAUUCAGUGGGUAGGGGUAAAAUCCUCUGAACCAUUGAGGACCACCAGUGGCGAAGGCGGUCUGCCAGAACACGUUCGACGGUGAGGGAUGAAAGCUGGGGGAGCAAACCGGAUUAGAUACCCGGGUAGUCCCAGCUGUAAACGAUGCAAACUCGGUGAUGCAUUGGCUUAUGGCCAAUGCAGUGCCGCAGGGAAGCCGUUAAGUUUGCCGCCUGGGAAGUACGGACGCAAGUCUGAAACUUAAAGGAAUUGGCGGGGGAGCAC